rnacentral:antisense_RNA from 1 species
ACUUCCACCUCCACAUGGAAAACCUGCAGCGGCCUGUCCACGAUCACCUCCAGGUGGAUGCUGCACUCCGCGCUCCGCCCGCACAGUUCCUCGCGGUCGAUCCGAGAAUUCACAAACAAAAUGCCAUUCUGCAGAUUUACCUCCAGAAGGUCCCCGUGUCUUUUGGACGCCACCCGGAACAGGCGCGGCACCAGCUCCGCCAGCUCCAGCCCCAGGUCCUGCGCGAUGCGGCCCACGAAGGUGCCAUGCUUGGCCUCCUCAGAGACGGAGUAGUGGAGCUGGCCGCUCCCCACCUCCGAGGCUGCCAGGAGCAGAAGAGAAAGCAGCAGGCACUGGGCUCCAGGAUCUUCUCGCCAGGAAAACAACAUUAGAGGAUGAAGCAAAGCAGUAUCUGAAUACGUAAUGCACGCUGUUAUUUCUUUUGUGGAGAAAGACCUUGUGGUGGACAGCGACAUCAUGUGGCUAAACGUUUCCAUUCAAGACAAAACUGCCAUUAAUAGGAUAUCUACAUUC